rnacentral:rRNA from 1 species
AUGGCGGCGUCCUCCUCCUCCCCGGCGGCGGCGGCGGUUGGGCGAGCGGUGGAGGAGGUGCGUUCGGCGCUGAACGAGCACGCUGACGUGGUGGCCGAGCUCUUCGGCCGCGUCUCCACCGAGCUCCGCGGCGGGUUCGGCCCCGCCGUCGACACUUUCGUCGGCUUCUUCCACGCCGUUGACUGGAAGGAACCUUGGUUGAUCGGCAUGAUAAGUUUCCAUGUCAUUCUGCUACUGGUAACCAUCAUCUCCAGGAGGAACAUCAAUUUCCAACUUAUCUUGUCAGCUUUAACAUUUUCUGGUGUAUUCCUUGCCGAGAAAAUAAACACGUUCUUAGGACAAAACUGGAAGAGCUUCUCAAGCCAGAAUUACUUUGAUCCCCAAGGCCUCUUCAUCUCGGUCAUGUGGUCCGGUCCCUUGCUCCUGAUUACGAUACUUAUUCUGGUGAACACCCUUGUGACGCUCUGCAUGCUCAUGGUAAGGUGGAAAAGGGCCGAGCUCAAGCACCGUGCUCGUGAGGCCCGUAGCAAGCAGGAGUGA